UACAGAGGGGGCAAGCGUUGUUCGGAAUUACUGGGCGUAAAGGGCGCGUAGGCGGCCUUCUAAGUCGAACGUGAAAUCCCCCGGGCUCAACCCGGGAACUGCGUCCGAUACUGGAAGGCUUGAAUCCGGGAGAGGGAUGUGGAAUUCCAGGUGUAGCGGUGAAAUGCGUAGAUAUCUGGAGGAACACCGGUGGCGAAGGCGACUCACUGGCCCGGUACUGACGCUGAGGUGCGAAAGCGUGGGUAGCAAACAGG
rnacentral:rRNA from 1 species